rnacentral:rRNA from 1 species
AUUGAACGCUGGCGGCAGGCCUAACACAUGCAAGUCGAGCGCGAAAGGCUUUCGGGCUGAGUAGAGCGGCGGACGGGUGAGUAACGCGUAGGAAUCUACCUGGUAGUGGGGGACAACUUGGGGAAACUCAAGCUAAUACCGCAUACGCCCUAUGGGGGAAAGUGGGGGACCUUCGGGCCUCACGCUAUCAGAUGAGCCUGCGUAGGAUUAGCUAGUUGGUGAGGUAAAGGCUCACCAAGGCGACGAUCCUUAGCUGGUCUGAGAGGAUGAUCAGCCACACUGGGACUGAGACACGGCCCAGACUCCUACGGGAGGCAGCAGUGGGGAAUAUUGCGCAAUGGGGGCAACCCUGACGCAGCCAUGCCGCGUGUAUGAAGAAGGCCUCGGUUGUAAG